rnacentral:rRNA from 1 species
UACGAGAGGUCUCAAGCGUUUGUUCGGGAUUCAUUGGGCGUAAAGGGUGCGUAGGUGGCGCGGUAAGUCGGGUGUGAAAUUUCGGAGCUUAACUCCGAAACUGCAUUCGAUACUGCCGUGCUUGAGGACUGGAGGAGGAGACUGGAAUUUACGGUGUAGCGGUAGAAAUGCGUAGAUAUCGAUAAGGAAGACCAGUGGCGAAGGCGGGUCUCUGGGCAGUACUGACGUGAGGAGCGAAAGCGUGGGAGCAACG